AUGGCCGCGUCCUGCAUUCACCUUGUCUUUCUCCUUUGUCUGGUCCCAGCAGCCACCGUCGCCUCACCUCGUCGUAAUUUACGCAAGUCCCCGGUCGACAUCGCCGCGGUCGCGCCGUCUCCGGCAGGCGCGUCGCGGCCAACCACCUUCUUCGAGGUGGCCCGCCCGCUCCGCCCGCCACCGGGCAGCUCCGGCCCGUGCUCCACGCUCCUGCUAUCCGGCUCCUUCGCGUACACCUUCACCAAGCCGCCCGCCACCGCCGCGUACUCCCCGCCGCCCUGCCUGGGCCGCGGCGGCGCCUCGGCGGUCUCCCUCGCCGUCCUCGAGUGGCGCGCCACCUGCCGGGGCGUCCAGUUCGACAGGAUCUUCGGCGUCUGGCUCGGCGGCGCCGAGCUCCUCCGCGGCAGCACCGCCGAGCCGCUGCAGAACGGCGUCGUCUGGUCCGUCUCCAAGGACGUCACCAGGCACGCGUCCCUCCUCGCCGCCGGCAACUCCACCCUCGCCGUCUUCGUCGAGAACCUCGUCAACAGCCAGUACACCGGCGUGUACUACGCCAACGUCACGCUCCACCUCUACUUCCGCCGCACGCCGACGAGGCCGCCGCCCGCUGUGGCUCCCGCCGACCUCAUCGUCCCGAUGUCCAGAGGCUUGCCUCUCAACGACGGGCUCUGGUACAAGAUCCAGAACGCCACCGACGUCGCGUCCAAGAGCGUCGCGCUGCCAUCCAACACCUACCGCGCGGUCCUCGAACUCUACGUCUCGUUCCACGGGGACGACGAGUUCUGGUGGACAAACCAGCCCGGCGCUGACGCCAACGGCCCGUUCCGCGAGGUCACCGUCCGUGUUGACGGGGUCCUCGCCGGCGCCGCGUGGCCGUUCCCCGUCAUCUUCACCGGCGGCAUCAACCCCCUCCUAUGGCAGCCCAUCACCGGCAUCGGCUCCUUCAACCUCCCGACGUACGACGUCGAGGUGACGCCGUUGCUGGGCAAGAUGCUGGACGGCAAGGCGCACGCGUUCGCGUUCGCGGUGACCAACGCCGUGGACGUGUGGUACGUCGACGCCAACCUCCACCUCUGGCUGGACCCUGGGAGCACGGCGACGGCGGCGGCCCUCGUGAGCUACGUGGCGCCGGAGCUAGCGGCGGCGACGACGUCCUUCCGCACGACGGCGAGCCGGCAGGUGUCGGCGACCGGAUGGGUGAAGUCGUCGUACGGGAACAUCACGACGAACGCCACGCAGACGUUCCAUUUCGACAACACCAACACCAACACCAACGAUGGCGAGACGGUGAACCAGACGACCGUCGCGCACGCAGGCGUCGCCGCCACGGACCUCGCCGGCGUCCUGUACUACUCGGUGCAGACGCGCCGGAGGUUCCCGCUUUUGUUGGACUCAGGAGCGGACCAGGUGACCGUCACGCACGGGUUGGAGGAAACGACGGUAGCCGCCGGCCGGUGGUCGUCGGGGCCCAGGUACCAGUCGCUGCGCAACACGCGGCGGAGCAGCGUCGCCGGGGCGUCGCGGGGCGUCCGGCAGACGUACAGGUACGAGGCCACCGACGGGUGCUACCUGAGGAACGUGACCAGCAGCGGUUACAACAUCGUGUCGGACCAGUCCAGUGAGGCGUGCGUGAAGGGGUCAUUGCGUUGA
rnacentral:rRNA from 1 species